UGUUGGGUAGGGGAGCGUUGUGUAAGCUGAAGAAGGUGGUUCGAGAGGGCUGCUGGAGGUAUCACAAGUGCGAAUGCUGACAUAAGUAACGAUAAAGCGGGUGAAAGGCCCGCUCGCCGGAAGACCAAGGUUUCCUGUCCAACGUUAAUCGGGGCAGGGUGAGUCGGCCCCUAAGGCGAGGCUGAGAAGCGUAGUCGAUGGGAAAUGGGUUAAUAUUCCCAUACUUGGAUAAACUGCGAUGUGGGGACGGAGCAGGUUAGGUUAGCGUACGGAUGGAAGAGUACGUUUAAGUUGGUAGGUGGGGUGUUUAGGCAAAUCCGGGCACCUGAUAACACUGAGAGAUGAUGACGAGGCUCUACGGAGCUGAAGUAACUGAUACCCAACUUCCAGGAAAAGCCACUAAGCGAGAGGUUUAUCUAAACCGUACUGGAAACCGACACAGGUGGUCAGGUAGAGAAUACUAAGGCGCUUGAGAGAACUCGGGUGAAGGAACUAGGCAAAAUAGCACCGUAACUUCGGGAGAAGGUGCGCUGGCGUAGUGUGAAGUUCUUCGCGAAUGGAGCAUGAACCAGUCGAAGCGACGAGCUGGCUGCAACUGUUUAAUAAAAACACAGCACUCUGCAAACACGAAAGUGGACGUAUAGGGUGUGAUGCCUGCCCGGUGCUGGAAGGUUAAUUGAUGGUGUCAUCGAAAGAGAAGCACCUGAUCGAAGCCCCAGUAAACGGCGGCCGUAACUAUAACGGUCCUAAGGUAGCGAAAUUCCUUGUCGGGUAAGUUCCGACCUGCACGAAUGGCAUAAUGAUGGCCAGGCUGUCUCCACCCGAGACUCAGUGAAAUUGAAAUCGCCGUGAAGAUGCGGUGUACCCGCGGCUAGACGGAAAGACCCCGUGAACCUUUACUAUAGCUUGACACUGAACCUUGAAUUUUAAUGUGUAGGAUAGGUGGGAGACUAAGAAGCGGUAACGCCAGUUAUCGUGGAGUCGUUGUUGAAAUACCACCCUUUAACGUUUGAUGUUCUAACGAGGCGCCUGGGACAGGUGUUCGGACAGUGUCUGGUGGGUAGUUUGACUGGGGCGGUCUCCUCCCAAAGCGUAACGGAGGAGCACGAAGGUUGGCUAAUGACGGUCGGACAUCGUCAGGUUAGUGCAAUGGUAGAAGCCAGCUUAACUGCGAGACGGACAAGUCGAGCAGGUACGAAAGUAGGUCAUAGUGAUCCGGUGGUUCUGAAUGGAAGGGCCAUCGCUCAACGGAUAAAAGGUACUCCGGGGAUAACAGGCUGAUACCGCCCAAGAGUUCAUAUCGACGGCGGUGUUUGGCACCUCGAUGUCGGCUCAUCACAUCCUGGGGCUGAAGUAGGUCCCAAGGGUAUGGCUGUUCGCCAUUUAAAGUGGUACGCGAGCUGGGUUUAGAACGUCGUGAGACAGUUCGGUCCCUAUCUGCCGUGGGCGUUGGAGGAUUGAGGGGGGUUGCUCCUAGUACGAGAGGACCGGAGUGAACGCACCGCUGGUGUUCCAGUUGUUUCGCCAGAAGCAUAGCUGGGUAGCUAAGUGCGGAAGAGAUAAGUGCUGAAAGCAUCUAAGCACGAAACUUGCCCCGAGAUGAGUUCUCCCAGUCUAAGAGACUGUAAGGGUUGUUGAAGACGACGACGUAGAUAGGUGGGGUGUGUAAGCGGUGUGAGCCGUUGAGCUAACCCAUACUAAUUGCCCGAGAGGCUUAACUAUACAACGCUGAAGGGUUUU
rnacentral:rRNA from 1 species